rnacentral:rRNA from 1 species
GAUGAACGCUGGCGGCGUGCCUAAUACAUGCAAGUCGAGCGAACGGACGAGAGGCUUGCUUCUCUGAUGUUAGCGGCGGACGGGUGAGUAACACGUGGAUAACCUACCUAUAAGACUGGGAUAACUUCGGGAAACCGUAGCUAAUACCGGAUAAUAUUUUGAACCGCAUGGUUCAAAAGUGAAAGACGGUCUUGCUGUCACUUAUAGAUGGAUCCGCGCUGCAUUAGCUAGUUGGUAAGGUAACGGCUUACCAAGGCAACGAUGCAUAGCCGACCUGAGAGGGUGAUCGGCCACACUGGAACUGAGACACGGUCCAGACUCCUACGGGAGGCAGCAGUAGGGAAUCUUCCGCAAUGGGCGAAAGCCUGACGGAGCAACGCCGCGUGAGUGAUGAAGGUCUUCGGAUCGUAAAACUCUGUUAUUAGGGAAGAACAUAUGUGUAAGUAACUGUGCACAUCUUGACGGUACCUAAUCAGAAAGCCACGGCUAACUACGUGCCAGCAGCCGCGGUAAUACGUAGGUGGCAAGCGUUAUCCGGAAUUAUUGGGCGUAAAGCGCGCGUAGGCGGUUUUUUAAGUCUGAUGUGAAAGCCCACGGCUCAACCGUGGAGGGUCAUUGGAAACUGGAAAACUUGAGUGCAGAAGAGGAAAGUGGAAUUCCAUGUGUAGCGGUGAAAUGCGCAGAGAUAUGGAGGAACACCAGUGGCGAAGGCGACUUUCUGGUCUGUAACUGACGCUGAUGUGCGAAAGCGUGGGGAUCAAACAGGAUUAGAUACCCUGGUAGUCCACGCCGUAAACGAUGAGUGCUAAGUGUUAGGGGGUUUCCGCCCCUUAGUGCUGCAGCUAACGCAUUAAGCACUCCGCCUGGGGAGUACGACCGCAAGGUUGAAACUCAAAGGAAUUGACGGGGACCCGCACAAGCGGUGGAGCAUGUGGUUUAAUUCGAAGCAACGCGAAGAACCUUACCAAAUCUUGACAUCCUUUGACAACUCUAGAGAUAGAGCCUUCCCCUUCGGGGGACAAAGUGACAGGUGGUGCAUGGUUGUCGUCAGCUCGUGUCGUGAGAUGUUGGGUUAAGUCCCGCAACGAGCGCAACCCUUAAGCUUAGUUGCCAUCAUUAAGUUGGGCACUCUAAGUUGACUGCCGGUGACAAACCGGAGGAAGGUGGGGAUGACGUCAAAUCAUCAUGCCCCUUAUGAUUUGGGCUACACACGUGCUACAAUGGACAAUACAAAGGGCAGCGAAACCGCGAGGUCAAGCAAAUCCCAUAAAGUUGUUCUCAGUUCGGAUUGUAGUCUGCAACUCGACUACAUGAAGCUGGAAUCGCUAGUAAUCGUAGAUCAGCAUGCUACGGUGAAUACGUUCCCGGGUCU